rnacentral:misc_RNA from 1 species
GAAAUGCGAUAAGUAAUGUGAAUUGCAGAAUUCAGUGAAUCAUCGAAUCUUUGAAGGCACCUUGCGCUCCUUGGUAUUCCUUGGAGCAUGCCUGUUUGAGUAUCAUGAAAUCUUCAAAGUAAAUCUUUUGUUAACUCAAUUGGUUUCUACUUUGGUAUUGGAGGUCUUUGCAGCUUCACACCUGCUCCUCUUUGUUCAUUAGCUGGAUCUCAGUGUUAUGCUUGGUUCCACUCGGCGUGAUAAGUUAUCUAUCGCUGAGGACACUGUAAAAGGUGGCCAAGGUAAAUGCAGAUGAACCGCUUCUAAUAGUCCAUUGACUUGGACAAUACUUUUAUGAUCCGAUCUCAAAUCAGGUAGGACUACCCGCUGAACUUAAGC